rnacentral:rRNA from 1 species
UGGGGAAUAUUGCACAAUGGGCGAAAGCCUGAUGCAGCAACGCCGCGUGAGUGAUGAAGGCCUUCGGGUUUGUAAAGCUCUGUCUUUUGGGACGAUAAUGACGGUACCAAAGGAGGAAGCCACGGCUAACUACGUGCCAGCAGCCGCGGUAAUACGUAGGUGGCAAGCGUUGUCCGGAUUUUACGGGGCGUAAAGGAUGCGUAGGCGGAUUUUUAAGUGAGAUGUGAAAUACCCGGGCUUAACUUGGGUGCUGCAUUUCAAACUGGGAAUCUAGAGUGCGGGAGAGGAGAAUGGAAUUCCUAGUGUAGCGGUGAAAAUGCGGUAAGAGAUUAGGAAGAACACCAGUGGCGAAGGCGAUUCCCUGGACCGUAACUGACGCUGAGGCAUGAAAGCGUGGGUAGCAAACAGGAAUUAGAUACCCUGGUAG